rnacentral:rRNA from 1 species
AACGUAGGACACAAGCGUUAUCCGGAGUUACUGGGCGUAAAGGGCGCGUAGGCGGCGCGAGCAGUCGGCGGUGAAAGCCCGGAGCUCAACUCCGGGUCGGCCGUCGAUACUCUCGUGCUUGAGCACUGUAGAGGCAGGUGGAAUUCCGGGUGUAGCGGUGGAAUGCGUAGAGAUCCGGAAGAACACCGGUGGCGAAGGCGGCCUGCUGGGCAGUAGCUGACGCUGAUGCGCGACAGCGUGGGGAGCAAACAGG